UUUUUUUUUUUUUUCAAAUUGAUGGAUAUUUUUCUGAGUGCCCUUCUUCAAUUGUCAAAGCUUAUGAUGGACUGUAUACAGCCAUGUGGACUAUGUGGAUAUUUAUGAAUUAAGUUUAGUGAAGAAAUUCACUCUCUCACUCUGUUUCUCACUUCUUUCUCUCCCUCUUUCGUCAGAGAAUAUUUGUUUUGUUUAAGAUAUCAAUAGAUCAAGCCUUAUAUAAACAUUUAUCUUUUAAAUAUGCCAAAUUAUAAUUGCCAUAUCAUGGAUAAUAAGGUGGCAUAAAUUCUAGGACAUUAUUACUAACAUUUUUGAGCUUAUAACAUUUACACUGCUUGUAUGUUGAUAUCAUUCGAAUAUAUAUUUCAUAAUAAACUUGAUUGUUCACCACCAUUUAUUUCAGCCCAAGACAUACUCCACAAACAAACUCUCCAUUUCUUUCACAAAACGUUCGGGAAAACUCACCAUUUCAACCACCAACAUACUGGAGGCCCAGUAACCAUAGCAACUGUUGCUAGUUCGGCGUAUUAUUGAUUGGGUACGCGCCUUAUCAGGAUCAGACACCAGUUAUUUCAUAGACCAGGAUGUAGAGAACAUUCCGCUGAACAAUCCACAGGGGCCAGUGCAGCCAGUGAAGUUUACACCAAGACCUGGAAGUCUGAAGAACAGCGGUGAAUCCAUUUAGUCAUUAUUUAAUGUACACCACUGAAUUUUCACCUAGCCAGUAAGUUCCAUGCAAGCCUGAAGAGCACCUGGUUUGCUGAUAGAUGUAGUUUUUAUAUACCUCCCACGAGAAGACAUAAAUUGUUAGACAUCAAGUUUUGACUGAGCUGUUAUGAAGUAAUACAAAGCCCUUAUAGUAGCCAUUAAUAUUUAGACACUGCAGACAUAGACCUUAGCAAAAGUCACUGCACUGCAUGAGCAUUGGUCUCCUCUUUGGUCAUCCAAAAGUGGCUGGUUCAUAGCAUGAGAAAUUGAAUUUUGACUUAGAAGAGUUGCUCAAUAAAUGCGUCACGUUAGCAGCAAAACUAGUUAAACAUGGAGACAGUCAGGACAAUUUGCUCAGAGUGAGAAAGAGACAGAUAUACUGUUGAACUCUGUUGUAUUCUAGUCACUUUGAAGACUCCUGUGUGGCGUCAGUGACACUGGAAUUUUAUGGGAUGAUAAUACAUUUAGUUGAAUAGGUCCAAACAGAGUUAUUAGUGAGUGUUACAUAUCCAUUGAACCAAAUAUUUAAGGUACUAGUUAAGGGAUCAGCAAAGUACUAGUAGACCAAUGCAAGUAAUAUACUUGGCCAAACUGUUUUUGUUGUACGAAUUUGAAAAAUGAUGAUUUAUGAAUCUACACUGCAGAUAGCCAAGUAGUUAUAUGUGUGAAGCAAAACACACCAAGUAGAUAUAAAGUUAAAAUAAAUAAUUCUGACAUGUGAGCAUUGCCAGUCAAAAUGCAAGUUUUGAUUUUUUUUUUUCAGUUAUAUUUUUUAAAGCCACAACAGAUGAAUUUUAAUAUCCAGUCCUCUAUGAACUUUUCAGUCAUGAUAUGCUUAACAUUGUCAAGGUUAAGGUUACAUAAUGAUAUCUGUAAAAAUAUUUUAUAAACUUUAGUAUCAUUGGUGUAAUAAUACCCAAAGAAAUAACAGGUACAGUUUGACUGCGAGAUUUGUAAUGAAUAUAGUUUUAAUAGAAGGUUAAUUUAUUUAGAAAUGAACAACUAGUUUUUAGAUAGCUGUGUAUAUUGAGCAAAUGACUUAUAAAACUUACACAUUCCAUGAUCCUUAGCAACACCAUGUUCUUCAUCUUAUGCAACAAUUAUGUCUGGGACAUAUAAAGACAAACAUUGUGAGACGAGUAUUUUCAUAUUACCACCUAGUUAUUUUCAUGAGUAAAUGUAGUUUUUUAUAACUGUUCCAUUUAAAUCUAUUGCUUUUCUUGCAGCUGGAUGUCAUUUUUUUCUUGAAUUAUUGUCACAAAUGUGGUUGCUCUUCCUAAGAAAGUUGAAUUGUUCUGGUUCAGGACCAAGAUGAUGACUUCCAGUAAUUUUUUUUUCUUAUUGGCAAAAAUCAGAAUACUUUCCCAAAGUGUGCUGCUUUCUAAUGAGAAUCCUUCCCUUCAUACACUGCUGACUUAAUGCUGCUGAUUUUAUUGCUUUAUUCAGUUCUGAGCAAUCAUCAGUACCAAAUGCUACAAUUGUUCAUUUAUCUAUGCUGCCAAUUGUUUUAAGGUAUUAUUAAUUGUAUUGUUGAUAACAUGGUACAUUGUGUAUUUGCAUUUUGUACACUGGAUUAACAGCACUGGACAGAUAUGGCUUUUGAUUACUAGGAUUUGGAGUCAUGUUCCAAGUCAUUAUUUGGAGUCACUUUCCAAGUCAUUGCUCUAUUAGGAACACUGAACAUCAACCUCUUAAAGUGUGACAUAAACACAGAGUGCUAGGUUUUUGGCCCUUUCUGAAUGAUUUAAGUUAGAAUAUAUGAUGACAGUUUAGAAUAGAGAAUCAUUUAACAAUUGGAGGAACCCAGCUCAGUUGCUCUUCGUAAUUUUAAUCCAGAUAAAUGGUUUUUUGUGCAGUUAACAAGUUGAUUUCAUGAUUUACAAGGUUUAAUGUUAAACAUUGCAUCCAUGUUAAACAUGGAAUUGUACAUGUUUACCUAUUGUAAAUAUGAUAAUUCUGCUCUAUUUUAAUAGAUUAAAAUUAAAAUCUAGAGAUUAAAAUCUCUCCUACUAAUUUGUGCACUUCUUGUCUUACAAGUGUGAUUGUUACGCUAAGAGGAAGCCAGACCAUAUUUUUCAUCAGCGAAAAUUUUAAAGUUUGAAUGUUUUUGUGAUAUAGCCUGACCAACAAAUCCAAUGCAAAGCAGAAUUGUGAGUUUUUUUGAUAAAAUUUUAUGGAACAUGUGCCACUGUUAUGAAAGUGACUGUAUUGGUAAAGCCAAUUGUUCUUUUUGUAAACAAUAUUUCAAACAUUUUUUUCAGCAUAAGUUACGUGAAUUACUUGGAUACUUAUUUUGGAGAAGAUUAUUGUAUUAGAACUUUAAAAAAAUUGGUAGAACUUAGUAAAAUUGUUAGUCUUUUCUGUUGAGCAUUAUUUCUAACUAAAUACAGCAUUCAGGGAAGACAGUUGUAUUUAAUGUCAAUUAAUUAUUUAGUUUUCAGUUCUGUUUUAAUUAGUUGUCAGUUCAAGAAUAUACAUUUGUUAUGCAAAUGCUGGAUAGAUCCAAAUUCUUUGUUUAAGAUUAACAUUAUAUCUAAAUAAUUUUGUUUGUAUACUAAAACAAAGCUUUGGUAGAGAUAGAAGCAUAGUAGAAAUUUCUUACAGUAAACUAGACAAAAUUAUUUGAUAAAGUAUUUAGGAAAAUGAUCUGUAUGUGUGAGUGCACCAUGACACUUGAUUUUAUUUAUUUCUGGUAUUUAGACAUUGUAAACAUCUUUGAGCACAGUGAUAUCAA
rnacentral:lncRNA from 1 species